rnacentral:rRNA from 1 species
GUGGGGAAUCUUAGACAAUGGGGGAAACCCUGAUCUAGCCAUGCCGCGUGAUCGAUGAAGGCCUUAGGGUUGUAAAGAUCUUUCAGGUGGGAAGAUAAUGACUGUACCACCAGAAGAAGCCCCGGCUAACUCCGUGCCAGCAGCCGCGGUAAUACGGAGGGGGCUAGCGUUGUUCGGAAUUACUGGGCGUAAAGCGCACGUAGGCGGAUUGGAAAGUUGGGGGUGAAAUCCCGGGGCGCAACCCCGGAACUGCCUUCAAAACUCCCAGUCUUGAGUUCGAGAGAGGUGAGUGGAAUUCCGAGUGUAGAGGUGAAAUUCGUAGAUAUUCGGAAGAACACCAGUGGCGAAGGCGGCUCACUGGACCGUAGUUGACGCUGAGGUGCGAAAGCGUGGGGAGCAAACAGGAUUAGAAACCCCUGUAGUCC